rnacentral:rRNA from 1 species
GACGAACGCUGGCGGCGUGCUUAACACAUGCAAGUCGAACGCUGAACCCGCUUCGGUGGGGGAUGAGUGGCGAACGGGUGAGUAACACGUGGGCAACCUGCCCCCGGCUCUGGGAUAACUCCAAGAAAUUGGGGCUAAUACCGGAUGUGACCGCUGGCCGCAUGGUCUGGUGGUGGAAAGGGUUUCCGGCUGGGGAUGGGCCCGCGGCCUAUCAGCUUGUUGGUGGGGUAGUGGCCUACCAAGGCGACGACGGGUAGCCGGCCUGAGAGGGUGACCGGCCACACUGGGACUGAGACACGGCCCAGACUCCUACGGGAGGCAGCAGUGGGGAAUAUUGCGCAAUGGGCGGAAGCGUGACGCAGCGACGCCGCGUGGGGGAUGACGGCCUUCGGGUUGUAAACCUCUUUCAGCAGGGACGAAGCGCAAGUGACGGUACCUGCAGAAGAAGCACCGGCCAACUACGUG